AGAGAGAGAGAGAGAGAGAGAGAGAGAGAGAGAGAGAGAGAGAGAGAGAGAGAGAGAUGGCUUGUGUAUGAGUGAUUGAGUGUCCAACAUGCAUCCUGCCACUGAGGUGCAUUUUUGGACAGACUGAACACCUCUGGACGACUACUGUUUCAGACUGAUAGCAGCACCGCAGACCCAUCAGACAGACACAGAGGGAGAGGACACUGAUCCAAUCUUGGCAAAAAUGAGCUUGGCUCGGAUCCAUGAUAAACACAAGCUAAAGAAAUACUGGGAGGAGAAAAUCGAACGUCACAGCGAUAUAAUGGGGAGUGAGGAAUCCAGAAUGAAGAGCAGUGCCUUAUCAAAGCUGCGGGACGAGUGGCUCAGGAGGCUGAAGCUUCGGAACCAGCAACUGGAGCAUUUCGAAGAGAAACACAUCAGGAGGGGCAAGAUGUCCCAACAGGCCUUCAAGAUACCCAGUCAAUGACUACUCAAAUCUACAUUCUAGAAUCUACAUCAUUCUAAGCCAUCUGACUGAGGUCAUGACAUGUAGAUUAGCCUGGCUGCCAUCUCUUGUUUAGAUACGACAUUCCACUCAUUGCAACUCCUGUCAUUUGCCAAAGACAAUCUUUGGCAAAUGACGGGAGUGACAAGGAGUGGAUUAUUAGCUAAAAAAAAGACUGGUACUCAGACUAAUGAUGUAGGGUUAACUAGGACUAGCUUCUCCAUUUCAGAUGAUGACAUUACGACUAUAGAUUGAGGGGAAAUACUGUAACUGAAGUGAAGUUUACUUCUUGCGAGGGAGACUGUAUGGCAGAAAGUCAAAUGGAUGGGAUGUCGCCGAAUGAUUAGUUGCAGAGCCAUGCUGUACAGACUUUGUCAUUAACACUCAUGUCGUAGUUUUGAGGCGACCAUCUGUUGUGCAGUUAAAUAAGUGCAGGGGAGUAUGUGAAGACUUGACUGUACAUCAGAGUGACAGUCGUGGUGACAGGUGGGGUAAUUAUUUGAUUUUUGUGUCGAAGGAAUAUACAACGUGAUCGGGAGGAAACAUGAUGAAGAUUGACAGAAUAUGCAUCACCAUGAUCCUACAUCCUACUGCAUCGCCAUGAUCCUACAUCUUACAGCAUCACCAUGAUCCUACAUCCUACAGCAUCACCAUGAUCCUACAUCCCUCAGCAUCACCAUGAUCCUACAUCCUACAGCAUCACCAUGAUCCUACAUCCUACAGCAUCGCCAUGAUCCUACAUCCCUCAGCAUCACCAUGAUCCUACAUCCUACAGCAUCACCAUGAUCCUACAUCCUACAGCAUCGCCAUGAUCCUACAUCCCUCAGCAUCACCAUGAUCCUACAUCCUACAGCAUCACCAUGAUCCUACAUCCUACAGCAUCACCAUGACCAUAUUUGAGAAGUGUACAAUCAUACAUUAUCAAUGGCCAAGGAGACAGCUUCUGAUCAAAAUAGAAAUGAUUGGACCGAAAGUACAAGAUUGGGAGAUGGUACAGUAUAACAUUACGGAGUAUGGCAUUACAGAGUCAUUUACUCCUGAGGUGCUGACCUGUUGCACCCUCUAUAACGACAGUGAUUAUUAUUUGACCCUGCUGGUCAUCUACAGUGCCUUGAGAAAGCAUUAAUGCCCCUUGACUUAUUCUACGUUCUGUUGUGUUACAGCCAGAAUUCAAAAUGGAUUAAAUUCAUUUCUCUCUCUCUCUCUCUCACCCAUCUACACACAAUACCCCAUAUUGACAAAUGGAAUACAUUUUUUUAGACAUUUUAGCUCAUUUAUUGAUAAUGAAAUACAGAAGUAUCUCCUUUACAUAAGUAUUCCCGCCCCUGAGUCAAAACUUUGUAGAAGCACCUUUGGCAGCGAUUACAUCUGUGAGUCUUUCUGGGUAAGUCUCCAAGAUUUUUCCACACCUGGAUUGUGCCCAUUAUUCUUCUCAGAAUUCAUGUUUUGCAAUAUGUUUAUUCUGUAAAGGCUUCCUUAUUUUCCCACUGUCAUGCAGGUUAGUAUUGUGGAGUAGCAACAAUGUUGUCAAUCCUUCCUCAGUUUUCUCCUAUCACAGCCAUUAAACUUUUAAAGUCGCCAUUGGCCACAUGGUGAAGUUCCCUGAGCGAUUUCCUUCCUCUCCGGUAACUGAGUUAGGAAGGACGCCUGUAACUUUGUAGUGACUGGAUGUAUUGAUACUUCAUUCGAAGUGUAAUUAAUAACUUCACCAUGCUCCAUGGGAUAUGCAAUAUCUGAUUUUCUACCAAUAGGUGCCCUACUUUGCGAGGCAUAUGGAAAAACUCCCUGGUCUUUGUGGUUGAAUCUGUGUUUGAAAUUCACUGCUCGACUGAGGGACCUUACAGAUUAUUGUAUAUGUGGAGUACAGAGAUGAGGUAGUCAUUCAAAAAUCAUGUUAAACACUAUUGCACACACAGUGUCACGGUCUUCCUCCUCUUCAUCUGAAGAGGAGAGGCGAGAAGGAUCAGAGGACCAAUAUGCGGCGUGGUAUGUGUUCAUGGUGAAUUUUAAUAAAGAAAACACUGAACACUGCAACACUAUACAAAAACAAUAAACCAAUGAGGACCGUGACGCUACAAAUGAGACCUGUGCUGAACACAAGCCACUAACAUAGACAAUCACCCACAAACAAACAGUGCAACCCAGGCUACCGAAGUAUGAUUCUCAAUCAGAGACAACUAAUGACACCUGCCUCUGAUUGAGAACCAUACUAGGCCCGAAACAUAGAAAUCCCAAAUCAUAGAAAAUAAAACAUAGACUGCCCACCCAACUCACGCCCUGACCAUACUAAAUAAAUACAAAACAAAGGAAAUAAAGGUCAGAACGUGACACACAGUGAGUCCAUGCAACUUACUAUGUGACUUUUAAGCACAUUUUUACUCCUGAACUUAUUUAGGCUUUCCAAAACAUAGGGGUUGAAUACUUAUUGACAAGACAUUUCAGUUCUUGUUGUUGUUCUUUCAUUUGUAAAAGUUGCAAAAAACAUAUUCCACUUCACCAUGAUGUGUUAUUGUGUGUAGGCCAGUGACAAACAAUAUCAAUUGAAUUCGGUCUGUAACACAACAACAUGUGGAAGAAAUCAAGAUGUGUGAAUACUUUCUGAAGGCACUGUAAGUGUAACAGAGAUAAGAGUUUUAGGACACAAACAGCUUAAAACUAAAAGCAAUGCAGGCAACAUUCCAAGCAUGGACUGAACGUCCAACUGUCUUUUGUUUGGCUCAAUGUCUAAUUUCGUAACUACUGUUCAU